rnacentral:rRNA from 1 species
UGAGAUUUAUCCUGGCUCAGAUUGAACGCUGGCGGCAUGCCUUACACAUGCAAGUCGAACGGCAGCACGGGUGCUUGCACCUGGUGGCGAGUGGCGAACGGGUGAGUAAUACAUCGGAACAUGUCCUGUAGUGGGGGAUAGCCCGGCGAAAGCCGGAUUAAUACCGCAUACGAUCUACGGAUGAAAGCGGGGGACCUUCGGGCCUCGCGCUAUAGGGUUGGCCGAUGGCUGAUUAGCUAGUUGGUGGGGUAAAGGCCUACCAAGGCGACGAUCAGUAGCUGGUCUGAGAGGACGACCAGCCACACUGGGACUGAGACACGGCCCAGACUCCUACGGGAGGCAGCAGUGGGGAAUUUUGGACAAUGGGCGAAAGCCUGAUCCAGCAAUGCCGCGUGUGUGAAGAAGGCCUUCGGGUUGUAAAGCACUUUUGUCC